rnacentral:rRNA from 1 species
UAUUCCCCACUGCUGCCUCCCGUAGGAGUCUGGGCCGUGUCUCAGUCCCAAUGUGGCCGUCCGCCCUCUCAGGCCGGCUACUGAUCGUCGCUUCGGUGGGCCGUUACCCCGCCGACUGGCUAAUCAGAUGCGGAUCCAUUCCAUCCCGAUAAAUCUUUUCACACCGCAGGAUGCCCUGCUGUGCGCUUAUGCGGUAUUACCAGCCGUUUCCAGCUGCUAUCCCCCUGGAUGGACCAGGUUAUCCACACGUUACUCACCCGUCCGCCACUAAGUAUAUACAAGAUUCUCUCUAUGCAAGCACUUCGAUCAUCAGCGCAUAUACUCCGUUCGACUUGCAUGUGUUAGGCACGCCGCCAGCGUUCAUCCUGAGCCAA